UACGGAGGGUGCGAGCGUUACCCGGAAUCACUGGGCGUAAAGCGUCCGCAGGUGGCAAUUCAAGUCUGCUGUUAAAGGUCAGGGCUCAACCCUGAACAGGCAGUGGAAACUGAAUAGCUAGAGUGCGGUAGGGGCAGAGGGAAUUCCCAGUGUAGCGGUGAAAUGCGUAGAGAUUGGGAAGAACACCGGUGGCGAAAGCGCUCUGCUAGGCCGUAACUGACACUCAUGGACGAAAGCUAGGGGAGCGAAUGGG
rnacentral:rRNA from 1 species